UACGUAGGGGGCGAGCGUUGUCCGGAUUUACUGGGCGUAAGGCGCGUGUAGGCGGCGGCUUAAGUCGGGUGUGAAAGCCCGGGGCUCAACCCCGGGAUGCCGCUCGAGACUGGGUCGCUUGAGGACGGAAGAGGGGCGUGGAAUUCCUGGUGUAGCGGUGAAAUGCGUUGAUAUCAUCAGGAACACCGGAGGCGAAGGCGGCUCACUGGGGAUUUUCUGACGCUGAGGAACGAAAGCCAGGGGAGCGAACGGG
rnacentral:rRNA from 1 species